rnacentral:rRNA from 1 species
AUUUUAUAUCUUGUUAAUUUUUAAUUGUUUUGAUGAGUAUGUAUGAAAAAUAAUUUGUAUUUAAAAAUUUGAGUAAUUAUUAAUAAAAUAAUAAUAAAGACUAAAGUAAAUAGUACUGUGAAGGAAGGAACGGAAGAAUAGAAAUUAGGAAAGUAGAAGUAAAAUUUUGUACCUUGUGUAUUAGGGAAAAUUAAUAUAAUAUUAUAUAAGAGUUAGAGUUCUCGAAAUAAAAAUAGUUAAUUUUAUAGGAGAGUUUUUAUAGGAUAUAAAUUUUGAAUAUAAAAUUAAAGAUGAAAUGUUAGUCGAGUUUUAUUAUAUCUAGUUUUUUAAGAGAUAAAUAUAAUUUAAUUAUUGUAGAAAUUAAAUACAAGAGGUAAAAGUAGGAGGGAUAAGCUUCUUAUAAAAAGAAUUUAAAAUAGUUAAGUAAAAAUAGGUAAAUUUUAUCUGAGCUUAAAGGUAGCUAUGUUUGUAAAGUGUUUUAACUAAAAUUGUAAGUUUAUAUAGUUUUUAUUAAACUUUUUUUUAUAUUAAAAAUUUAUUUUAAGUAGGAAUUUAUGAGAUAUAAUGAUUUUAUUAGUAGAAUUUAUAAUUGAAUUGAAUUUUUAAAAAGUUAAGAAUUUUUAGGAAUGGGGAGAUAAUUUAAAGGAAUUCGGCAAAUUUUUUUCUUUGCCUGUUUAUCAAAAACAUGUCUAUUUGGAGAUAUAAGAAGUCUGGCCUGCCCACUGAUAUAAAUGUUUAAGGGCCGCGGUAUUCUAACCGUGCAAAGGUAGCAUAAUCAUUAGGUUUUUAAAUGGAAUCUCGUAUGAAUGGUUGAACAAAAGAGAAGCUGUCUUUAUAUUAGGUUUAAAUUUAACUUUUAAGUGAGAAGGCUUAAAUGGUUUAGAGGGACGAUAAGACCCUAUAAAGCUUUACAUUGUAAUUAUAUUUUGUUGAAUUUGUAGUUUAAAAAUUUAAUUUAAUUAUUUGUUUUGUUGGGGAGACAAAGGUAAAAUUUAUAUUAACUGCUUGAAAAAAAAACAAUAAUGAGUGAUUAAAGUUAAUAGAUCCUAAAUAAAGAUUAAAAGAGUAAGUUACUUUAGGGAUAACAGUGUAAUUUUUUUUAAGAGUUCUUAUCGAAAAAAAAGUUUACAACCUCGAUGUUGAAUUAAAAUAUCUUUAUAAUGCAGCUGUUAUAAAAGAAGGUCUGUUCGACCUUUAAAUUUUU